rnacentral:misc_RNA from 1 species
AACGCACGAGACCUGCGGACCUGCGGAGGGAUCAUUACCGAGUUAUCCAACUCCCAACCCCUGUGAAUUAUACCUUUAAUUGUUGCUUCGGCGGGACUUCGCGCCCGCCGGGGACCCAAACCUUCUGAAUUUUUUAAUAAGUACCUUCUGAGUGGUUAAAAAAAUGAAUCAAAACUUUUAACAAUGGAUCUCU